AGUCCUUCCUCACGUGCAUCUAGUUUCAAACCCUAGCCUAGAUUAUUCAGCCGCCAUGCGUGUGAUGUUUAGCAACCGCCACCCCCUCCGUUCACUAUUCCGAUCUGGACGCUGCUGCCUCAUUGCUGUGCACCGCUGAUUAUUACGCUGUCAUUGAGGAUCUCCAUUGCGACGUCAGCUACCGGAGGCGUCGGGCGAUGGGGCCGCUGGAGAACCGCCGAGGAUGGAAAAGAACCGCUGUGUCGUCGUGUGCAGUUCGUGAGCCACCAGAAUUGUUUGGUACUAGCGAGGAUCGCGGGAAGGUGUCAGCAUGAUCCGUACACACUCAUAGAGUUUAUGUUAUUGAGAUUCUGGGGACAUGUUUUGUAUGACACAGUGAUACGUUAUGUUUUGAGAUUAUCAUGUGAUUGAAAGUAUGAAUUAAAAAUAAAAAUUGUUUUGAAAA